GGCCGCAGGAUAUUUUUUUUGCCUCUCAUAAUAACGGCUUACAGUAACUUUAGGCUUUCAUAUAGCUAUCAUCGGAGACGUAGCAGGGGUUUUCAGUCAGAGGAGGCCGAGAACUGAAUCCCAAGAUGGGCCAAGGAAUUUUCACUGUGCUUUAUUUUAUAUAUGGUUAUGUCUUAAUGUUCCCCACACUAAAGCGUGCAAGUUUACUUACAAAGAAUGUAUAACUGCACCAAAACCUAAAACAUGCAGGGAUAGAGUAGAGUACUCGAAAAUGGGGGAGGGUACAGUAUAUGAAUGACCUGUAACCUUGGGGGGUUCGGGGGCAAUGCUCCCCCGAGAAAAUUUUAAAAUUUGAACCUCGGAAAUGCUAUUUCCUGCGUUUUCAGCCAUGGAUAAUUAUCUUAAGCCCAGAUUUUCUCAGGGGGGGGGGCAACAAUUUUGCCAGGGAACACCACUGGCUAUCGUAUGUCAGAGGCUCCAAAGGCGGUAGAUUCCCUGUGAUGUUAUCCACUGUUCACCCCGUGUUCUUUUGAGCAUAUGAGCCUGCUCAAAAAUGCAAAAUCUUGCAAGCCUGUGGACG
rnacentral:lncRNA from 1 species